CACGUAGGGCGCAAGCGUUGUCCGGAAUUAUUGGGCGUAAAGAGCUCGUAGGCGGUCUGUUGCGUCCGCUGUGAAAACUCGGGGCUUAACCCCGAGCCUGCAGUGGAUACGGGCAGACUAGAGGUAGGUAGGGGAGAAUGGAAUUCCCGGUGUAGUGGUGAAAUGCGUAGAUAUCGGGAGGAACACCAGUGGCGAAGGCGGCUUCCUGGCCUGUUCUUGACGCUGAGGCGCGAAAGCUAGGGGAGCAAACGGG
rnacentral:rRNA from 1 species